CUGACACUUCAUUUGAGAUGCUGUACCAUUUUGUCACCCACUGUUCUGGAUACUAAGACUUAGAGCCUUGUUUUUGGUAGGUGCUGCACAGACACCUCCCAGGGCUGUGGUCUCUGCCCUGAUACAAGACAGAACCAGUGCAGAGUGAGGCUGCUUCUCUCCAGUCACGGAGGAGAUCAAGAACAGAGCUAGGAACAGGAGGACCCCAGCAAAAUGAUUAUAUAUUCUCAUCACAACAUCUUAGAGGUGUGUGGAAGAUACCGUGCUGAAGAUACAUCAGCUUACUACAAGGGUCUUAUGUCCUGUCUUCAACAGAGUUCCCACAAACAAGAUUUCAAGUGCUUUAGAACUACUGACUGCAGCACAGCCCGGACAGCAGGCAUUUCUUCUGCGUGUUGCUCGUAUGCAAGGCUUAGAUUAAAGGCACAAAGAGAAGAGAGCAGCACGCACAGCUUCAAGCUCUUCAUGUUCCUGGAACGUACAUGGAAUCAUCUUAUUGCUAAAGCAUGA
rnacentral:lncRNA from 1 species